rnacentral:tRNA from 1 species
GCGGACGUGGUGGAAUGGUAGACACCGGAGACUUAAAAUCUCCUGGCUUUAUGGCCGUGCGGGUUCGAGUCCCGCCGUCCGCACCA